AUGAAGCCACAAGGAGAUGACAAGGCUGCACCCGUGUCUGAAAGCGCCUGGCCGUGGCCUACCCGGAAGAACGUAAAGCCGUGCACCGUCACUAGAGCCACGUGGGGGAAGAACGGGUAUGGCUGGGGAGAGCAAAGGCCCAGGGAGAGCCCGACUCCGACCUGGGAGGGCAUCUGCUGCACCGCUGCUCAGACUUCAGUGCGUCUGGGGACACGCAGGACGGAGGGACAUCCUCAUGUGAAGACCCAUCCUGCAGAUAUUGAUGGAGGAUCAAGGAUUCCUACCAGGACCAUGUCCUCACCCUGGGCUUUCAGGAAGUGACUAUGGGGACACCCUGCCCUGGCCUGGCCUCCCCUUUCCUCUGCACAGGUGGUGGAAGGGUUUGCAAAGGGCCCAUCAGGAGCCCCUGCACUCUUCCUCUUUUCCACCCCCAACACAGGAUGAGCCUUCGUACUGGCUUCAAACAUGCUUGAGAGUCCUCCAUAUGACCAUCUGUGGGUGGCUCUCAGGUCCCUCUCAGGGUGGUCUGACUUGAGCUGGCCUGGACUGCAUCUGCUCCUCUUCUGAGAUCUCAACCUCCCCAAGUCCUCCAGGUGCCCCAAGCACUGACUCCAGUGUUGGCCUUGCACCUCCCCUGAGCGGCUAGAGAUUCUUCUUCCCAUCACUCUUCCUGCACGGCCUCUCACCACUGCAUUUAUUAAAAGGCAGAGAAUCUGGAGAGUGCUGAUCCUAGAGCACAGCCCCAUAAUCCACCCAGCUGCCCCGAGGCUCAUGAGAGGCAGAAGAGCCACCAACCUUGCUGAACCCAUUUUGAAAAUGUCCCCAGUAAAACCUGAUUGGUGUCCACACUGCAGGACAUUGAGUUGUUUGCAUUUGCAGGUGGGGCCCAGUGGGGACAGUUGCCUCCCCAGCCCUGAAUAUGGGUUUUUGGGAACGUAGACCAGCUGAACAGAUCUGGGGCAGGUAGACUCCCUCUUGUGCUGGUGGACAGCUUGCCCAGUUGCAGUUGUCACUGACCAUGUGGAGAUGAAAUUACGUUGAGUUUCACAGAGGUCCUAGACCUGGAAGUGUGCGGGGAGCUUUGCUGAAAGCAGAGUCCAUCUCCUUGGCCUUCCUGGCUGUUUGGAUGUUCGAGUCCCCUGCAGGGCAUUCUCCUCAUGGCUGGAGCAGCCUGGCCCCUCUCACUGGAGACUUGUUUUCAAGCGAUAUUCUGCUUGGGGGAUCAUAUGGGGAUAUCAGGCUCAUAUCCCAUCAUAGAAUGGACUCCUCUGUGGCCCAAAUGCUAACUGGAGCAGUCCAAGGAGGCCGUCACCAUUUUGGAACACCUGCCAGGGUGGCCCUGGGGGUGUCGACUCCUGGUCAGGAGGAAGAGCUUUCCUCCACCUCAGUGAUUUGCCCUGGGCUGAGGCAGGCAGGAGGGGUCACAGGGGUGACUUCUAAUGAAUGAAGGUCUUGAAUUUGUUCCUCAGCCUGGGCCUACUGAGAAGAAUGGGAUAGACUUUGGGAUCUUGAUGUUUCUUGCCCCAGAGACAAAAGAACAAAGUUGACCAAAUUUUAACCCAGAUGUAAAACAGGCCUUUACAAUAAUGCCCAGAAUCUUCAAUUAUGUGUGGUAGAACGCUUUCUCUGCUUAGAAUUAUAACAUAAGUAAAUUAUUAAAAAUUAUAUUAUUAAAAAUUAUAAUUACAUGGUCAUCUUUUUUUUUUUCCCCAGGACAGAGUGUUGCUCUGUUGCCCAGGCUGGAGUGCAAUGGUGUGAUCUCAGCUCACUGCAACCUCUGCCUCCUUGGUUCAAGCAGUUCUCCUGCCUCAGCCUCCCAAGGAACUACACGCUACCAUGCCUGGCUCAUUUUUUUGUAUUUUUAGUAGAAACAGGGUUUCACCAUGUUGGCCAGGCUGGUCUUGAACUUCUGACUUCAUGAUCCACCCAUCUUGGCCUUCCAAAGUGCUGGUAUUGGAGGCGUGAGCCACCACUCCUGGUCUAAAUGCAUAUUUCUAAGUGAAAAAAGUCAAUAGGAAAAGGCUAUAUACAAUAUAAUUCCAGCAAUAUGGCAUUCUGGAAAAUGCAGAAUUAUAGUGACAGUAAAAAGAUCGGUGGUUACCAAAGGCCAGGAGUAGGGAAGGAGUGCUAAGCAGGAGUUUUUAGGGCAGUGAAUCUAUUCAGUGCACAAUGGUGGGUCCCUGACAUCAUGCAUUUGGCAAAACCCACAGGACUGUGCAACACAAAGAAUGACCCUUACUAACAUAAGCCACGGACUUUAAUAUUAACGUGUCAACAUUUAUUAUCAAUAUUGGUUUCUACAAUUUUAUCAAAUGUACAACAUGAAUGUGAGAUGUUAAAAUCGUGAAGACUGUGGCCUGAGGUGGGAGGGAAUCUAUGGGAACUCUAGGUACUUACUGCUCACUUCUGUAAACCUAAAACCAUUAUAAAAAUAAAGGAUAUUAAUUUUAAAAACUAAUAGGAAAAGUAAUUAUUAGGUCCUAACAGUGUGUGUGUGUGUAUGUACACACAUAUGUGUAUUUAUGUAUAUUACACAUAAGAAUGAUUUAUUUUACCCAAAGAUGGGAGAUUAUGCCUUAAAUAAACGGUGAAUGAUGUUAGAUUAAUAAAUAUUAAUUAGCAUUCAAAAAAAUGAAAGGAAAAUAGAUCAGAUGGGCAUCAGACUAGAAAACAAUAGUUGCCAUGUAAAGAGAUAUCAUGUAGGAGAUGAUAAGAAACAUUUUCGCACUGGCAGUAACAACAGAAAAGUACACCCAAAUGUAAGAAACAGACAACUUACGAGGCAAAAUGAAUAGGUACAGAGGACGUUACGUCUCAAAAUUUGUACUUGAAACAAGAAUAUGGAAAUAAAACCUAUAGAGAGUGGUGGUGAGCCGAGCUGGUGCGGGGGCUGAGGCAUCCAGGGUAAGGAGACUGCAGGUUUCGAGGCCUGGAGGCUGGGGCAGCUGGGGUGGGUGAGGCCAGCAAGUGCUUGAGCUCUUGACCCCAAAUCGAAGCUCCAAUACCAAAGUAGCCUCCUAAUGGCCAACAAGUUCAGCACUUCACCCAUUUUAUAUGUACAUGGGUGAAGUGGAGAGCCCUCAGGGAAAGAAAGGGACCUCAAACCAAAGGGUGUUUGAGAGAGCUCUGAGAAAGGGCCAGGGUGUCAGGUGGAAGUGCCCUCCUACCUCUGGACUACGCAGUCCUUCCUAGGGGCCACAUGGGCCUCUAAGGAGCUUCUGGUACCUUCCACUUUGGGUUUAACUGCCUCUUGUCUCAAGUUGUGGCUUCUUCUCAAAGACAAAGACACUUGCCUGUGUCAUCAAUUCUUCUUGCCACUCUAGUCACUGUGGGCCUCGCCAGUUUGUGAUGCAAUUUUCCAUUUUGGAUUCGUAAUGCUCGAUACAUUUUAUAUGCUUAUUGGGCAUUUAUACAGACUCUUUGGCCGCGUGGCUGUCUGAAGCUCUUCCUACUUUCAACAGAGCAGCCCCUCCUGGUUCCACCUGCAUGGCUGCUGCUCUUCUUCCUGCGUCCUCCACGCUGACCCUUGGUGCCACCACUCACAAGGAACAGGAAAGACCCCCAGGACUGGGGGCAGCACGCUGUGCCUCUGGCACUCCAGUGGGCACUGUGGGCUGGGCUCUACAGAGCAAGAUCCCAUCUCUGAGAAGAAAAGAGGAGGCUGUGUGCAGAUGGAGGCAGUUGCUGGAGUGACAUAGCUACAAGCCACUGGACAAGAGCAAUUGCUGUGAACAGCAGAAGCGGAGAGACAGAAACAGGGGCUCCUGCAGAGCCUCUACGAGGAGCCAGCCCUUCCAAGCCCCAGGUCCCAGGAGCCCGAAGUGACUGAUACACAGCAACUCCUUAGCCAUGACCAGCCCCGGAGGCCCCUAGAGGGGGCUCCUCUGUCUGAAAGCCCCACCCUGGAGGGCCCCGGGGUGACCCUGAGAGGUGAGGGUGGCCCUAAGAAAGCACCAUGCUGGGGUCUACAUGAGGCCGGACUCCUCCCCAGCUCAGACUCCUGGCUGCCUGUGUAGGUCUGGCUGGCUUUCUGGGCAGGGGGAGGGCAGGCAACACUAAGCCUCUGGCCUCCUCUUCUGGCUCUGGUCUUGAAUCUGUUUUCAGGAGCCCGCAGUCAGGCUGUGGCCUUCAGCUCCUGGAGUGCUGCUCACUCUCACCUGUGGCUCCAGUGCUGGGGUCCCGCACUAUGGCCGCUGCAUCCAACAGAAGCCCAAUUUUGUACCCCAGGGUCUAAUAGAUGACACCAGCAACCGGGCCCAGGGGUUCCUGUCUGAUUUCAGGCUCCCACUUGGAGACAAGGUUGCCUCAGGGUCGUGGGGCAGCCCGAGCAGGAGUUACUGUGCUCUGGCACGGCAACCCUCUCCACAAUGACGCAGACGGCCCAUGCAGGGUGUGGUAACAAAGUCCCGUAAACCAGGCCGAGCACACACAGCAGAUAUGCACUUCUCACUGUUCUGGAAGCUGGAAGUCCCGCAUCGAGGCACUGGGAGAGGUGAUGCCUAGUGAGGGCCUGUUUCCUCCUUCGCGGAGGGUCGCCUUUCUGCUUCGUAUUCACAGGGUGGAUGUGAGAGAAGCUGUGGGAGGCUCUUCAGUGAGGGCUCCGCCCUUAUGACCCAGCCACUGCCUAGAGGCUCUCAGUCCUAAGACCAUCACCCUGGGGGUUGGGAGGUCCACGACCGGCUUUGUGGAGAUGCAUUCAGUUCAGUGUCUGGCAGGGGAUCUUUUAAAUUAAAUUAAAUUAAUUUAUUUAUUGAGACGGGGUCUCCCUCUCUCGCCCAGGAUGGUGUGCAGCGGCCCAAUCUUGGCUCACUUCAGUUUCCGUCUUCUGGGUUCCAGCAAUGCUCCCACUUCAGCCUCCUGAGUAGAUGGGAUUACAAGGUGCACCACCAUGCCCAGCUAAUUUUUUUGCAUUUUUAGUAGAGAUGAGGUUUUACCAUGCUGGCCAGGCUAGUCUGGAACUCCUGACCUCAGGUGAUCCGCCUGCCUUGGCCUCCCAAAGUGCUGGGAUUACAGGCAUGAGCCAUUGCGUCUGACCUGGCAGGGGAUCUUGACAGGCAGUUGGGGAAGAGGACAGUGCCUAUCAGUUGCCACUGGAGACCAGCAGGGACUGUGGCUCCUUCCAUUGACAGCCUUUUGACUGUUUUUUCUUUUCUUUUCUUUUCUUUUUUCUUUUUUCUAGGGGGGGAAAAAAGGCCAGAUUUUUAGAGAAACUACUCCAUGAAGCGAGUGGGUCCAAACAGUGCUAGAUGCAGUGGUGUCCAUCCGAAUGCCCUCCUUAGGGCUGCACAUGCCUUC
ensembl:lncRNA